rnacentral:misc_RNA from 1 species
GAGUUGUUGACCACUGGAAUG